rnacentral:piRNA from 1 species
UAGAUGUGUGAGACCCCUGUGAUUUUCCUUC